rnacentral:rRNA from 1 species
AUGACCGCUUUACCAAUAGUUGAGACUCAAUCUGGAGACGUUUCCGCCUAUAUUCCUACUAAUGUAAUCUCCAUUACAGAUGGACAAAUAUUCUUAUCUGCGGAUCUAUUCCAUGCCGGAAUUCGACCCGCUAUUAAUGUGGGUAUUUCAGUUUCCAGAGUAGGAUCUGCGGCUCAAAUUAAAGCCAUGAAACAAGUAGCUGGCAAAUCCAAAUUGGAACUAGCUCAAUUCGUAGAGUGACAAGCCUAUUUCGCCUCUGCUCUCGAUAAAACAAGUCAGAAUCAAUUGGCAAGGGGUCGACGAUUAAGGGAAUUGCUUAAACAAUCCCAGGCAAAUCCUCUCCCAGUGGAAGAGCAGAUAGCUACUAUUUAUACCGGAACAAGAGGAUAUCUUGAUUCGUUAGAAAUUGAACAGGUAAAGAAAUAG